GAGUGCAGGUUAAAGGCACUACAUAUGCAAAUGGAAUGCUAGUCUUACUGAGCUAUGCCAAAGGCCAACUGCAGUUAGGACAAAUAGCAAGCAUUUUUGUAAAAAAUGAAACUACUGUCCUACUUUUGCUUCGGGGGAAAACUGCCAGCUGGGUACCUGAGCUUGGACUCUAUGAAAUUGAUGAAAAUGCUUCUGACCUGUUCAGUUGCCAUGAUUUGAACAAAAUUUAUGAUUAUCAUCCACUUUAUUCUUACCAGAGAGGUACUCGGUGUCUCAUUCCUCUUAAACACACACCAACAUGGAACUUGUGAAAAACUAUGUCAAGAAAGCAAUGCCAUCGCUCAGUAGCGAUCAGAUGGAUACACUAAUGGCUAAACUGGAGGAAUUAGGAGUUCUCUCUGUAGAUGACCUGAGCCUUGUGGACCCAGAGGACAUUAAGGCACUCUGCCAUUCAUUCAGUGCAAAAGAUUCGUCAGAGCUGUCAAAGCAUUGGAAGCAGAUUCACAAGCUCCACCGCAGUUUACCAGGCCUGGCCCCUCAUCAACACCUGAGCCACAGAGGUUACAGCUGCCCUCAACACCACCUGAGACAGCCGACUCCCCAUCCCAAGACACAUAUUCUGUUCCAUGGCACAAAUUUCCCUCAAAAGUCAUGGAUGACUUGCAUGAAAAGAAGUACAUAAUGGGGAAAGACAGACGAGAGAUGGUUCGGAUCGUCGCUGAAGAUUACCUCCACAAACACCCAGGAAGACCUGGUAGACAAAAGCUGAGGGAACUCGCCAGUAUGAUUGUAGGACAAUAUCCUGCCUCCUUCAAGCUGACAGAGCCAUUUGGAAACGAACCUUUUGCAAAAGAUGGUUCUGAAACUGUCUUUCGUCAGCUGGAACACAGAAUUGAAAAUAUGAAGAGGCCACAAAGCUCACUGAGGAGGCGAGCAGGGGGUGAAAAUUCAACAAAGAAAAGGCCCAGGAAUUCAGAUCUGUAUGGAUGUGUGGCGUGGGAUCCAAUCAUUGAGGGGACUGUGUGUAGAGAAGACCUGCUGUCUAAACGAGAUGACUUGAAACGUGCCUUUCAAACCCGGGAUCUUCAGGAACUUUCCAAAAAAGAAAAGGGGAUCAAUGACUUCCUUGACUCCAAAGGGAUGAAGAUGGGCGAAGGUCCAAUACAGCUCAUCUGUGGCAUUGCAAAAUACUUCAAGGAAGACUGUUAUAAACUCUUCGACAAAAAAGAGAUCUCUGCAGAUCCUGAAGUCGAACUCCCAGUGACCCCAUGCAUCCUAGUCAGAGGUGACCAGCAAUUCAAGAUUGCUCUUGAUGGGUUACUUGUCAAUGACCACAUCACCUCUCCCAUUGUGGCCUUGAGCUACGUCUUCUCCAUGUUUUAUGUCUGCAACAUCCAAUACCCACCGGAGAUGGCUUUUACUCUCGAAUUCAUGCAGAGAGUUUUCUUUGGGAUCAAUCCUGAGCGAGGCUCCAAGGCAGAGAAGAAGGGGAAGAAACGGCACUUCAUUCCUCCACAGAAAGGUCAGACACUGGUUGCAGAGCUCUGCCUGUCGGUGUGAUAUGUGGAGUUGGAGGUGUAGGUUUCUGCAUCCUCCUGGAGGGGGCUGCUCAUUUUGCACUGACAGUUGUGUGAUGUCACGAGAGGCUGUGUCCUGGAAGGGUGCUACAUCCCCCUGAGAUGGCUGCAACCAUGAGCAGCUAUGGCUCUAUCUGCUGGUGGAGUCGGGAACUCCACCCGUCAAAACAUGGCAUUCCCGCACACCUGAGACUGAUCAGGGUUUGAUGACCUGAAGGGUUUUAAGGACUAGAGACACUGUUAGUGGGAGAGGGGUUUUUGUUGGGAGACAAGAUGCGGGUUGUGCGUUCUGGGAAAGACCAGACCGCUCCAGUAUCGUAUCCAGUGAGGAAGGCUGGAAACACCACCAGACAUUAGAAGGACUUACAACUGGAAUAGCCUUGGGCUAGGACACCCAGUAAAGUAAGGUUGAAAAGACUGUUUACUUACCUGAGGAAAUCAGGAUUACCGCCAAGAAGAAGCGUCAUUUAAGUUUUCUGUUGAAGGUAGACCUGACCCUGAGUUACCUUUUUGAAUUUGGCACGCUGUUUCUGUUAAUUCCUUAGAACUA